rnacentral:rRNA from 1 species
AGCGGAGCGUGUGGUUUAAUUCGUUGCUACACGAAGAACCUUACCUGGGUUUGACAUAUAGGUUGUAGGGAACUGAAAGGGACCGACCCUUCGGGGAGCCUAUACAGGUGUUGCAUGGCUGUCGUCAGCUCGUGUCGUGAGAUGUCGGUUAAGUCCGCUAACGAGCGCAACCCUCGUCGUAUGUUAUAUGUGUCAUACGAGACUGCCGGUAAAAGCCGGAGGAAGGUGAGGAUGAUGUCAAGUCAGCAUGACCUUUAUAUCCAGGGCUACACACACGCUACAAUGGUCUGUACAAUGGGUAGCCAAGCCGCGAGGCGGAGCCAAUCCUGAAAAGCAGGCCUCAGUUCAGAUUGCAGUCUGCAACUCGACUGCAUGAAGCCGGAGUUGCUAGUAACCGCAGGUCAGCAAUACUGCGGUGAAUACGUUCCCGGGUCUU